UAUAUACAUUUUUUUUUCUUUUUAUGGCCACACCCACAGCAUAUGGAAAUUCCCAGGCUAAGGGUCGAAUCAGAGCUACGGCUACUGGCCUACCAUAGCUUAUGACAAUGCUGAAUCCUUAACCCACUGAGCAAGGCCAGGGAUCGAACCCACAUCCUCAUGGAUCCUAGUCGGGUUCCUUAACUGCUGAGCCAUGAAGGGAACGUCUCAAAAUAUUUUUAAUAGCCAUAAAGCUUCAAAAGCUAUUUGAUUCGUAUUUUCUUUCAGCAGUCUAAAUAAGACAAUCUAACUUAACCUAAAAUAACAACAGUGUCAUAACACUUACUGAGACAAUCUACCAACAGAAAAUAACAACAAUAUAACAACAUUUACUGAGGGCCUGAUUUGAGCUAGCCACUAAGCUAACCAAAUUAUUUAACCUUUCGUAUAGCCCUUGUAACAAACCUAUGGCAGGUUAUGCAUAAUAGCAAUACCUAACAAUUUUAUUUAUUCAUUCAUUUCUUUCAUUAAAGUGCAUUCAUCGACCCACUCUAUGCAUCACUGAACAAUGUACAAAGACUCCUACUCUAUUUGAACAUAUUUUCUACUUAGAGAUAGACAAUAAGCAAUAAAAUAAAUAAAUUCAUAACUAAAUUAUAUGGGCCAUUAGGAAGUAGAUAAAUUCUGUAACACAUGCAGCAAGCAGGGUAAUAGGGAUUGGCGGGGUCUGGUUGGAGCGGAGUUCAAGGAGGCAGUGUUAAAUCCUGGGUGAAGGUAAACUUUGUUGCAAAGGUGGUAUUUGGGCAUCAUGGAGAUAGCAAGUAGAUACUUGGGAAAAGGACUCCAAGCAGAAGAAAGUAGGGCUUUUAUUGAGUAACUUGGGGAAGUGGGGUGUGGCUUAGAGAAAGUUCUAAACAGAAAAACGCAUACCCUGACAUAUUUUUAAAGGAUCUCUUGGGUAUAGCAGAGACUAUGGAGAAAACAAGCAUGCAAAAAAAGGGAGGUGUUAGGAGACUAUUGAAAUAAAAUAAAACGGAACUGAUGUUGCUCCGAUAAUGAGCAACAUGGCAAUGAGAAUAGAUUUGACUCUGGAUAUAUUUUAAAGGUAAACUAGAUUUACUGCCAGACUGAAUGCCAACUGUGAGGUAAGUGGGCAAAUGAGGAUAACCCUGUGGGCCUGACAGUAAGUAUUUGGUCAAAUCAGUGAACUGGAGGUCCUGGUGGGAGUUGAAAAGUUGAUAAAACUAUGGUAUGAGAGAGAGAGAGAGAGAGAGAGAGAGAUGAAAAGGGAUGGAGAGGUACCGGAGCGGGACACAUGGACUUUAAAUUGGAAUGGAGGCCCUUACCAGUCAGGACAAAGUCUAGCUAUGGCCAUGCAGGUGAUAGAAAUUUAAGCCAAUUGAGAUUUCAAUUCAUUAAUUUUUAGAACAUUUUGUCGGCCAGUACCAGAAUGCAAACCCAGGAUAUUUGACCUCAGAUCAUGAGACUGCUUUCAGUUUUCUCUGUUCAAGUGUUUGUUUUUGUUUUUUUUCCCUUUAGCUAUAGACUAAUAUCAGCCUACUUAGCAACUUCUAUUUGUUGGUCUCGCCAGAAAAAUGCAACAGAUUUUGGUUCCAAUGAAGUAUAACUUUCCAUUUGUUCUGAGAAAUGCUGAAGAGUUUUGACCCGAGGGGACACUCAGUGAAUCCUCAGCAGCCUCCGUGGCCACCAGCCCAGGGCGUCCAAUCAAAAUUCACUCCAGCACCAUGCUAAGGAGUCUGCACUGAGGGCUUGGCCAGGAGCUAAGCUGCUUUUAGAAUUUUACUUCUAACAUCUCACUUAUUCCUCCAGCUUCCAGGAAAUGCUCUUCCCUUUCCCAUCACUCUCAAAUUUAAAUGCACAUAUUUUACUCUUGGAAUUGUUUAUUUAUGUCUGUAAUCUUAAUGUGGGUUUGUACCACUGGCUGACAUGGUAACUUCCUAUAGCACAAGGGCUGUUUGUGUUUAAACCAUCUUUUAUUUCUCAUUACUCAGCGUGAAAAGUAUAUUGCUUAAUGAGUGGCAUUGAAUAUCAUAGCUAUUUGGAUUCCUUAGAGAUUAAAAUCAUUCUGAUGAUAACCAAAUAGUAAACCACAAAGGGCAGGUGGGCAGAAGAAAAAGAGAAAAGGUUUAUUUCUUUAAGUGCUAUACAACAAUAAACUAAAAAUAAAUAUUUGUAAUCAUUAUUCAAGUAAAAAUCACGGGCCUCUUUUCUCCUAAGUUUUCUAAAUUGAGACUCAGCAUCAAGCCAAGUAUUAGUAGUGUAUUAUCAUGAAGACCAAUCAUGUAACCUGUCUUUUUAAAAAUAGUUUCCGUAACUAUGUUUUAAGAUGACUUUUCUUUACUGUUAUAAAGCAGAGGGAAACAAAAACAAACAAACGCAUCCCUAUGAGAUGAAUCUUGUUUUAUCAUCUGCUUCAUAAUGAAGAUGUUAAUUUAAAGAAGUUCGUAAUUAUCCCGUUUGGUCAGAAGAAGGCACUUGUCUUAAAAUCGUUCAGUACUAUUUUCAAAGUUUGAAGACAGCUUCCUGUUUGAGAGGAGCUUUUCACUUUGUACCUGGGGGCCUUUGGAGGAAAUUGGUCGUUGAUGUCUAAGAAUCUGUAUCACUUUUCUUAUACUCUGAUAUAGUCCUCACCACCUUCCCUGCUCCACGCAAAGGUGUAGCGUUUCAGGGGAAUCCAUUAAAUUUCAUGUUCAAUUGCAGAACAUCAGAAAAUCUGGCUCGGAUUUUGAGGUGCGAUCAAAUGCCUAUGAACUCCAUCCCCAGAAUCUAAGGAAAAUGACAAGGAAGAACAAGAACGAGAGAGGGUAGGAGGCAGAGGGAGGCCCUAUCUAUCACCAGACUGGAAAUGAAAGAGUAGUUCCAGAAGGGAUGAGGGAACUGGAAGAAAAAGGAAAUACAAGCAUAGCGUGUAUAUCUCCUGACUUUCCUUCUUAGGAAAGUGUUGAUGCAAGGGUAUCUGUAGAGAUUGAGAGAAAUCCACUAAUUCAGAAACAUGCAGAUAGUUUGGGUUGGAUGGCUUGACCAAAUGAAACCUAAGUUAGAGUGGUUGCAUUUAGGGGUAGGUGCCCCAAAAAGAAACCCUACACAAAAAGACUUUGGAAAGAGUACAAAAUCUAUUAGGUAGGGGCCUUUAUCCA
rnacentral:lncRNA from 1 species